rnacentral:misc_RNA from 1 species
UCACAAUAUCAAGCUUGGCUUGUUGUUGGGCCCUUUGUCACCUGGUGACAGGUCCAAAAGACAAUGACCGGUGUCAUAUCGACUCCAUAUGCAACGAGCUUAUAACAGCACGCAUCUGGUGGUUGUGACCCGCUGGGAGCCUCUGGCACCUUUCUUUCUCAA